GGGUCUGUAGUCUAGUUUGGUUUAGGAUCCGAGCUUUGGGAGCUUGAGACCCCGGUUCAAAUCCGGGCAGACCCA
rnacentral:tRNA from 1 species